rnacentral:rRNA from 1 species
UGAGGAAUUUUCCGCAAUGGGCGCAAGCCUGACGGAGCGACGCCGCGUGAGGGAUGAAGGCUUUCGGGUCGUAAACCUCUUUUGUGGGGGAAAAAGGCGCAAGCUUGAUGGUACUCCACGAAUAAGCCCCGGCUAACUACGUGCCAGCAGCCGCGGUAAUACGUAGGGGGCGAGCGUUGUCCGGAUUUACUGGGCGUAAAGGGCGUGUAGGCGGUUGGACAAGUCUGGUGUGAAAUGCAUGGGCUCAACUCGUGCGCUGCGCUGGAAACUGUUCGACUGGAGUGCCGGAGGGGCGACUGGAAUCCCCGGUGUAACGGUGAAAUGUGUAGAUAUCGGGGGGAACACCUGUGGCGAAGGCGGGUCGCUGGACGGUAACUGACGCUGAGACGCGAAAGCGUGG